rnacentral:lncRNA from 1 species
GUGAGAGAGUUGUGGGGAGAGCAGAUAAGCCAACAGACAGGGCAGAGCCAGGAGGGAACCUCCUUCCGAAUGGACAGACUCCCCAUCUGCAGCAAGCCUGGAGCUGGCAAGGGGCAAACCUUCAUGUUAAACGAAGGUCAAGGUUUUGACCAUGACACAGGGUCUGGCGUUUGGAUUAUAGGUGGGAGGACUUUGUAUCUGGUCAUUUAAGAUGACCAGAAAGUCAUGGGGCCUGUUUUAAGUUAUCAUCCAGGCUAAAAAAAUAGUCCCACUGAAUAAAUUUAAACAGAAGGUGGGAGACAAAAAUAACGACUUUAUGAGUACAUCUCGAGCUGUGCCUGUUCACUGUGAUAUUUACACAAAUAAAUAAAACUACAGAGGUACUGAGAGGGCCAAUAAAAAUUUAAAAGGAUUUAUGUGAUAAAGUGAUAGAGAAACUGCUUUAGCCAGGGUAGAAGGGGAGACCCGUUGAGGAGGUGACAUUGGAAUUGAGGCUUCAAUUAUGAGAGGGAGCUGGCUGUGUGAAGGUCCAGGGAAGGGUGAUCCAAGCAGAGGGAACAGUUUGUGCAAAAAUCCUGAGGCAGGAGCAAGCUUGCAGCAGGAUAUGGAAAGUGAGAGGAGGAUGGGAGAAGCUGAGGUGGAAGGAGAGGCUGGAAAAGAGCACCAGGCGGGGUCAGAAAGGGGGACUGUAUUUCAAGUGUGAUGAGAAUUCAUUAGACAACUUUUAGCAGGGAAAGAACUUCUGAUUCAUCCUUUAGAAAGGUCAGCUGGCUGCUAUUAGAAUGGGCAGGAGACAAGGGCAAGAUUGGGGCUGCCGGGAGUGCAGCUUGUCCAGAACAGGAUAGAGAUGAUAGUGUCUUGGACUAUGGUGGUUGCAUGGAGGAGGUGAGAAACAUCAGGUUUAGACUAUAAUUUGGAAGCAUAAAGCUCCAUGUGUGAUGUGAGAGGGUUAAAGAUGAGGAUUAAGGAGAGUUCUGUGGUUUUUGACCCAUGCCACUGAAUGGAUGUUGGUGCCAUUUCCAAGAUGAGAGAGAGUUGGGAGGAAGCAGAUUUAUAUUGGGGAGGGGAGUGUAUUAGUCUGUUUUCACGCUGCUGAUAAAGACAUACCUAAGACUGGGUAAUUUAUAAAAGAAAGAGGUUUAAUUCACUCACAGUUCCACGUGGCUGGGGAUACCUCAUAAUCAUGGCAGAAGACGAAGGAAGAGCAAAGGGAUAUCUUACAUGGUGGCUGGCAAAGAGAGAAAUGUGAGCCAAGCGAAAGUGGAAACCCCUUAUAAAUCAGAUCUCAUGAGACGUAUUCACUACCACAAGAACAGUAUGGGGAAAACCGUCCUCAUGAUUCAGUCAUCUCCCACCAGGUCCCUCCUGCAAGAUGUGGGAAUUAUGGGAGCUACAAUUCAAGAUGAGAUUUGGGUGGGGACACAGCCAAACCAUAUCAGGGAGUCAACAAUUCUCUUUUCACUGAGUAGUAUGCCCAGGCAGUCCAUUACUAGAUAAUGGGGAGGCCAAGAAUUAAGGCUGUGGUGUCAAACAAUUUGGGCUUCAUUGUGUGACCUUGGCCACAUCAAUUAACCACUUUGAGACCAGUUUUCUCCACUACAAAAUGGGAGUAAAAAUAACAGUACCUAUGUUCCAGGUUUGUUGUGGGGAGGGAAAGCUCUGCAAUGGGCCUGGCACACAGUAAGGGCACAAGAAAUGAAAGCAGUUAUUGGCUCUUUAUUUGCAAGGGCCAUACUUAUGAGUGCUGCUCUGUGUUGAGUGGAAAACUGCACUUAGGACAGUUUCAUUUUUGUCUGCCAUACUUCUCCUGAAACCUUCAGAUCCUGGAGUCAACUGGCAAGAAAACCAGCUCCAGCCAGGAUCCCUCACUAACAUUCCUAUGGAUAUCCUACCUGCCCUGCACUGGCAAUGUUCAUCUUGAUCACCUGGCCAAGAUAUUGUCGGAUUUCUUCACUGUGUAAUUAUUAUUUGAUACGGGUUGGAUCUGUGUCCCCACCCAAGUCUCAUGUUCAGCUGUAGUCCCCAGUGUUGGAGAGCACGGGCUCCCCAAAGGCCAGGAACGAGUCUGGUUUCUGGAACAGCACUGUCUCCUCAGCACCUAGACCUGGGCACAUAGCAGACAACCAAGGAAUGCCCAUCAACGAGAGGAGGCCUCACCUCAUGGCGGCCAUGUGGGGCAGGAAUGACUGUAAUCCCCCCUAACCAAUGGAACAGCUAAGACUCAGAGAGGGAUUUCUCUCCAGCAAUUUCACACCCGUAUGAAAGUGUCUUGUACACAUCCCCCUACCCCCAAAUCAUCAUUCAACAGGUUAUCAUUGUGUCCAGCCUUGUGUGAGGGGCAUAAGCCUCCGUCGUUGCUCUGGGACCUCGUUGCUGACCCUGGAUGACAGACCACUGCCUAGGAUGAAAUUCCCCUCUGGAUGGAUGGCUUCUGGUUUGGUGAUGGAAUGGAUUCCAGGGCCUCUGAGGAAGGCAGGAAGCCUUGGGACUUGGCAAUCUCCACAGGAGAUGGGGUGUGUGCUAGGUGAGGCCCCCAUCACCAGGAGCAAGGCCUGGUCCACCCUGAGACCCAGCGCCCACUUACUGUCCAUGCCUUCACCUUGCUAAGUUAGUGUGUGGUCCACUUGCUAAGAGAAACAACAGGUAUUAAGGGUUUAAGAAAAAAUGAAACCCAAAACAAGCUCUGAAGUUCUGUAGACCUUGGCCAACUCUCAGCACAGCCACUUACUUGCUAGCUAAUCUUGAGCACGUCCCUUAACUUCUCUAACCUUUUUCCUCCAUUCGUAAAACUGGGAAAAUUUGCAUCUUUUUCGUGCAUUCGUUUUGAGAAAUAGAUGGAUAUGUGUGUGCCUGUCAGCUCGACGCUGGGUGCAGAGUGAGUGCGCUAAGCACGGUGGCUUCCUUGACUGUAGAGAUGCAUCCUAGCUCCUGCCUGGUCUGUCCCAGGUGGACAGAGGUGAUGGCAUCUGGAGGGGUCCCACCUCCAAUGUCUUAAUCCAGGGCCUUUCUGUGGCAUAGUGCUGAGCCAGCGUACUGAAAGGCCACAGAGAGGUGCAGCAGGUGGCGAGUUGAGCCCCCACCUCCCCAACCCCAGUGAUUUUCCCUGAAAAGACACCCCAUGCUUUGUUUUGUUGUCUGGCUUAUGUAAACUUGCCUCUUGUUUUAUAGUUGCUUCCCCAGCUUUAAACUAAAGGCUGUUAUUGACAGCCUAUAGUUGCUUCCCCAACGGCCAAUCCCUCCAGCUCCCCUCCUGCUUCCAGGCAAACAACCCCAGUCAUAAGGGCCUGCGAUGUUCCCAGUCCCAGGGAAUGAGUCCUGAUUGGUCUAAGACAGCUAAGACAAUUCUUUUCUACUUUAUCAAAUACAGAUGACCCCUGAACAGCACCAGUUUGAACUGGGGGGUCCACUUAUAUGUGGAGUUUCUCUCUCUGCCACCUCUGGGACAGCAAGACCAAUGCCUCCUCCCCCUCCUCCUCCUGAGCCUACUCACUGUGAGUAGGAUGAAGACCUUUAGGAUGAUCCAUUUCCACUUAAUCAAUAGCAGAUAUAUUUUCUCUUCCUUAUGAGUCUUUUAACAACAUUUUCUUUUCUCUAGCUUAUUUUAUUGUAAGAAUACGGUGUUGAAUGCAUAUAACGUGCAAAUACAUGUUAAUCAACUGUUUAUGUUACGGGUAUGGCUUCUGGCCAACAGUAAGCUAUUAAUAGUUAAGUUUUGGGGAAGUCAAAAGUUAUAUGCAAUUUUUUGACUGCACAGGGAGUCAGCACCCCUCACUCCUCAUUGUUCAGGGUCAACUGUACUUGGUUUCCAAGCCUCCCUUAUAAGUCGGUAUGGCCAUGGGACCCAGUUUUAGAUGUGAGAAGAGAAGAAGGGUUGCAUCUGGGAAGGAUUUCUUUCUGGAUGAAAGAUAGUCUUUUGAGGAGCGGCUCCUUGGUCCCUGCCCUGUCCCUCCUGCUGGAGAUGCUGCAUGCAAGGGCCUGAUGUCUGGAAUUGAAGCAUCCAUGUGGUGACCAUGAGACAAGAAGCAUGACAAUAAAAUUUCACUGGGUGGAAGAAUGAGGAAGUCUGGAUUCUUGAUGAUACUGUUGCCGUCUGAACAUGCCCUGUGACCCUGUACUUCUGGGCAUCUGGUUACAUGAGCAAUAAAUAUUCUUACGGCUAAAACCA